ensembl:lncRNA
CUGAAAGGCGAGGCUGAGAGGCUGGGGACCGCAGGCUUGUGGUGCCAGGGUAAACCGGAGACUGAGGCUGGAGACCAGGGGCCUGCAGCACCGGACCAGAGGACCAGGAAUCCAUGGCUGGAGGAGCCGUGCUGAUGGAGGAGCCGUGCUGACGGAGCUGAUGGAGGAGCCGUGAUGAAGGAGCUGAUGGAGGAGCCGAGCUGAUGGAGGAGCCGUGCUGACGGAGCUGAUGGAGGAGCCGUGAUGAAGGAGCUGAUGGAGGAGCCGUGCUGAAGGAGCUGAUGGAGGAGCCGUGCUGAUGGAGGAGUCAUGCUGAAGGCCCUGCAUUGUGGAGGAGCUGGUGGAGGCCCUGCCUGGUGAAGGACAUCUGUCGUGAGACCAGGACUCUGUCUUAGGAGAGCUGCCGGAGGAGCUGAGACGCUGGAGGACGACUAGGAAUCGACCAACAAGGAUUCCUCAACGUGUUGCUGGUAGGCGAGCCUUGAAUCUGGAGGAUGACCAUCACUCUACCAACAAGGAUUACUUUAGGGCCAGACUCGCACUGUUUGUUCCAGACCAGGACCCUGGCUGAGGAGAGCUGAUGGAGGAGCCAAGGCUCUGG